GGUUUUUUGAAUAAUAAUUUAAGAUUAGUUCUGCUCAAUGAUGUAUAAAUUAAAUAGCCGCAGUAUUUUGACUGUGCAAAGGUAGCAUAAUCAAUUGUUUUUUAAUUGAGAACUGGAAUGAAGGAAUUGAUGAAAUUAAAACUAUCUAUAAUAGAAUAUUAAAAUUUAAAUUUUAAGUAAUAAUUCUUAAAUAAGAUUAUGGGACGAGAAGACCCUAUAGAAUUUAAUAUAAUUUUUUAAAAUAUAAAUAUUAUUAAUAAAUUUAGUGAAAUUAAUAUUUUAUUGGGAGGAUAAUUAAAUUAAAUUAACUUUAAAUUUAAAAUUAAACAUUAAUUUAUGAGAAAAUUGAGUAAUUUUUAAUAAAUAUAAUAAAAUUAAUAGAAAAUUAAUUACCUUAGGGAUAACAGCGUAAUAUUUUUAAAAAGAUCAUAUUAAUAAAAAUGUUUGCGACCUCGAUGUUGAAUUAAAAUGAAAAUUAAAUGGAGAAGUUUAAUGUUUUAGUCUGUUGUUUAAUGUUUUAGUCUGUU
rnacentral:rRNA from 1 species